rnacentral:lncRNA from 1 species
AGAGCCGCGCUGCUCGGCUCCCAGGCCGGGGACACGGCCCGGUGUUAAGCGGAGGGUGCCCGACCGCGGGAAUUCCUAAGGCCACGCGCACCUCCAAGGCCACCGCCGCACACAGCUUCGGAGUGCACAGUGCACACGCCCAGGCACAGGCAGCCGGCCCGAGAAAUUGUGAAUGUCUUGGCUUUGAGUUUAUCUGCGUAUCCUGGCGAAGUUUGGAUGCAGAGAACUUGGAGCUGUUGUUUUCUACCAGACACUAGGAUCCCUGAGAGAGGUGUCAUUCUUUCGCGCUGCACACACCUUCCUCCACGUGGUGAAGAUACAUCGCUCCUGACAGCCUCAUGCCUGACUGGACACUGAAAAAGAGGUGAAGAGAUGAGGCGAUAGAACAAAAGAACAGAAAGAUAAUGAAGCUGAGACUAACAUAAUUAUGUAUGCAGCCACAAAUGGAGCACAAAGCAAUUACUGCUUGUGGGAAUUUGAGAGAUGCUCUUUGAAGAGGUGUGAGGGAAUCAGUAAUAC